CAACCUCUGGCGAUAAUCGCGAAUGUUG
ncrna:Flavimarina sp. Hel_I_48 L19-Flavobacteria ribosomal protein leader